AUAUACCACACCACUACCUACAACACACUCACACAUACACACUACGGUCGCCUGACCUGAAGACGACCGCGGUGAAUUACAAGGCAUCACUAGCGCCCCGACCCGCCAAUCCCCGCCAGCCCCACACCUUCACCCUGCAGACUCCAUACAACUUACUGGUGAUGGAGGAGGCCAGCACCACCAGCUCCUCCUGAGUGCCUAGGUCGGUGCUGGAUAGAACAACAGUCUUCACUCCCUGCUCGUGGAACCACUCCAGCACUGCUGCUGCGUCACCCUUGCCCUUGAUCUUCUGCCCACUCAAGAGUCUGGUGGAGAGGCACUGGCUGAGGAACAGAGGGGAAAUCUGUCCAAGGGCAACAAAGACAGUAAACAAAAAAGGCCCACUGUGAUGCCAGUCCCCAAACAGAAAGAAAGCAGGAGACAAAUCAGAUGAAUAAAAAAUAUAGAGACUGAUGGAUGUGAGUGUUGGGAAGGAAAGGAGGGAGGAGUGGAGGUAAAGUGGAGGAGGAGGUGGUACUGAUGGUUUGAGGAAGGAGGAAAAAAUGGGAGGUGAAAAAUGAGUAAGAUAAUAAGUAAAGCAUAUAGGAAAACACACAGAGCAACACAGAGAUGCAGAAAAGAGAGAUAAAGGAGGCAUGUUGGGUUAGGUUAGGUUGAAUUAGGUUAGUUUAGGCUAGUUUCAAUUGAGUUUGAUUAAAUUAGGAUAGGGUAGGGAAGGGUAGGUUAGGUUAGGUUAGGAUAGGUUAAGUUAGGUUAGAUCAGGCUACAUUUCAUUAGGUUAGGUUAGGUUAGGUUACAUUG